GAUGAACGCUGGCGGCGUGCCUAAUACAUGCAAGUCGAGCGAACAGACGAGGAGCUUGCUCCUCUGACGUUAGCGGCGGACGGGUGAGUAACACGUGGAUAACCUACCUAUAAGACUGGGAUAACUUCGGGAAACCGGAGCUAAUACCGGAUAAUAUAUUGAACCGCAUGGUUCAAUAGUGAAAGACGGUUUUGCUGUCACUUAUAGAUGGAUCCGCGCCGCAUUAGCUAGUUGGUAAGGUAACGGCUUACCAAGGCAACGAUGCGUAGCCGACCUGAGAGGGUGAUCGGCCACACUGGAACUGAGACACGGUCCAGACUCCUACGGGAGGCAGCAGUAGGGAAUCUUCCGCAAUGGGCGAAAGCCUGACGGAGCAACGCCGCGUGAGUGAUGAAGGUCUUCGGAUCGUAAAGCUCUGUUAUUAGGGAAGAACAAAUGUGUAAGUAACUAUGCACGUCUUGACGGUACCUAACCAGAAAGCCACGGCUAACUACGUG
rnacentral:rRNA from 1 species